UGGGGAAUUUUGGACAAUGGGGGAAACCCUGAUCCAGCCAUCCCGCGUGUGCGAUGAAGGCCUUCGGGUUGUAAAGCACUUUUUGCAGGAAAGAAACGUCAUGGGUUAAUACCCCGUGAAACUGACGGUACCUGCAGAAUAAGCACCGGCUAACUACGUGCCAGCAGCCGCGGUAAUACGUAGGGUGCAAGCGUUAAUCGGAAUUACUGGGCGUAAAGCGUGCGCAGGCGGUUCGGAAAGAAAGAUGUGAAAUCCCAGAGCUCAACUUUGGAACUGCAUUUUUAACUACCGGGCUAGAGUGUGGCAGAGGGAGGUGGAAUUCCGCGUGUAGCAGUGAAAUGCGUAGAUAUGAGGAGGAACACCGAUGGCGAAGGCAGCCUCCUGGGAUAACACUGACGCUGAUGCACGAAAGCGUGGGGAGCAAACAGG
rnacentral:rRNA from 1 species